GUGGUCUUCUCUUGGUCCCUUGUCUCCUUCUCCUCAUGAAGCAUCUAAAUUUUUUGGUGAUUAGGGUCAAAAUCCUCAUCUUCCUCGUUGUUCUCUGAUUUUUCUGUAUCUUCUUCUUCUUGAGCUAUCAACUUAAGAGUAAUAGUCUUCUUUCUUCUAGUCUCCUUAGAGUGUUGCUUCAUGGUCAGCUCAUGAGUCAUGAGGGAUCCAAGUAGCUCUUCCAAUGGUAGAGUAUUUAAAUCAAUGACUUCUUGGAUUGUAGUGACCUUUGCCUUCUACGAUCUUGGUAAAGACCUG
rnacentral:lncRNA from 1 species